GCGGCUGGCUUCGUUAGUCCGGGAUGUCUCCGGGCAAGGCAGAAAUUUCUAUUCCGAGAGAAUAUAGGAGGUGCGGAUACUCGAAUGACUUUGCUUUUCUCCCAAGCGCAAAAGGGGGGCGGGGCAAGACGCAUCGUCCUUCCUUGAAGCAGCUCGCGGAGAGGAAAAGAAAGGCGACGAGUCGCCCGGCGCGAGACCCGUGCAGGAGAUCCGCACCCGCUCCCGUGCCCGACAGCCGCGCGGUCUCGCCAGCCAGCCCCGCACCCUCGAACCUGCCGAGCUCCUCCUGACCGGCCGCAACCAUGGGAGACGCUUCGACCGCGGACCCGUCAACUGCCGGAGGCUCGGAACAGUCUAUGGUCAACAAGGAUGCGGGAGGUGGCGGAGGCGGUGGUGGCAUGAUCAUCCUCCUCAUUCUGCUGGUGGUCGGUAUUCUCGCCGUCGUCGGUGUACUCUUCGCAACCGGAGCUCUGGGCGGUGCCAAGCAAGCAACUACCACCACGGAGGGUA